AAUGAGCACAAAAUCAGGUACAUGUAUACCCAAACAAGUCACUCUUUGUACUUUAAUAGAAAAAUUGUGGAGAGGUUGAGGUUGGUUUCAAGUACGGGCCUGAGUCGAGUUCACCCUGGAGAGCGUCGCUAGGUACCGAAAUAGACGUACAAUCUACAUGACUGUACAUAUAAUUAACCCGCUGGAGAGAUAGUUAAGCAGUCCAAAAACUAGGACUGUCUACUAGUCACACUGGCUAACCUAACAGCUGUACGAACUUAAGGCACCUCCCAUCCUCUCCAAAUGAAGGUGAGGGUGUGUGUGAAGAGGCCCUGGGAGUCAUUGGGACAAGUCUCUCAGAGUUAUCUGUCAGAAGUUUUCAUGCAUGCUCUUCCUCAUAACACAGAGCCACGAGGUAAUGCUGGAGUGUACUGGUAGUCUAUUCGUGCCGGAUACCUAUUGACACUUCUUCUAGCGGGGCAAGGCCCUCAAACAAAAGAGCUGAUCGGCUACGGACCUGAGUCCUUAGGGUGACUGUAUGGACCUGCUUGCUGCCAGGGCAACCGGUGCAGGUAUUUACUAGAGCAGAAAGAGGUCUAUAGUCCCAGUCAGGAUUCAUGGGAUCAUGGACACUUUCCUCUUUCCUUAAUUGUAUGUCAUGCAAGGUGUGAAUGGGAUCAUGGACACUUUCCUCUUUCCUUAAUUGUAUGUCAUGCAAGGUGUGAAUGGAAACAUCUUGACAGGAAGAGUCCCAGUCAGGAUUCAUGGGAUCGUGGACACUUUCCUCUUUCCUUAAUUGUAUGUCAUGCAAGGUGUGAAUGGAAACAUCUUGACAGGAAGAGUUUCAACAGUUGUCUGAGGGUGUGCCUCUAGAGCAUCGGUCUCGAGUCUGAGGGUGGAGGAUUGACUUAUGUUUCUAAUUUCAAGUGAGAGUCUAACCCCCACCAAGUGUACUGAGAAAGAUGAACAGGGGAGCAGAUACACAUGCAUUCAGUGCUACAGUUUCAAGAAAAAAAUCAGCCUGAGAACACCAGGCUACGUGUCUGCUCUCUAUAUAACACACUGAUUCAGAAGAAGUUGAUUGAAGCAGCUCAUACAAAGGCAAAUAUGUGAAAGACAAGGAAGAGUUAACUGACUAAAAAAAAUUGGGCACCGAAUGAUUAUAAUAAUUAUAGAGACUAUAAUUACAAACGAUGUUGCGUGUCAUGUAUGAUCGAGUGUCUUGUGUGUGCAUGUUGGGGCAUAGAUUUAAGGAUUUAUUGUCAUGCAGUUUGCUCAUUCUCACCUGAUGAGUGUCUUAAAUGAUACAUACUAAAAUGUGCAUCUCAUAAAUAUAUACAUUAUGCUAAUAAUUACUGUUGCCUAUACGCCAUGCAUGGCAGGUUUGCAUGCAAG